rnacentral:hammerhead_ribozyme from 1 species
AUGCAGUUGACGAGCUCCAAAUAGGACGAAACGUGAGUCCUGUAU